rnacentral:rRNA from 1 species
CGAACGCUGACGGCGUGCUUAACACAUGCAAGUCGCACGAGAAAGUCCACCUUCGGGUGGGUAAGUAAAGUGGCGCACGGGUGAGUAACACGUGGGUAAUCUGCCUUUAAGCUUGGGAUAACACUGCGAAAGCGGUGCUAAUACCGAAUAUGCUCACGGUUUUAUUUCUGUGAGAAAAGAUGGCCUCUGUUUCAUGCUAUCACUUAAAGAUGAGCCCGCGGACCAUUAGCUUGUUGGUGGGGUAAAGGCCUACCAAGGCGAUGAUGGUUAGCUGGCCUGAGAGGGCGGCCAGCCACACUGGAACUGAGACACGGUCCAGACUCCUACGGGAGGCAGCAGUGGGGAAUAUUGCGCAAUGGGGGAAACCCUGACGCAGCGACGCCGUGUGAGUGAUGAAGGUUUUCGGAUCGUAAAGCUCUGUCAGAUGGGAAGAAUAAGACCACGUAAAAUAUACGUGGACGAUGACGGUACCAUCAGAGGAAGCACCGGCUAACUCC